rnacentral:rRNA from 1 species
AUUGAACGCUUGCGGCAUGCUUUACACAUGCAAGUCGAACGGUAACAGGGAGCUUGCUCCGCUGACGAGUGGCGAACGGGUGAGUAAUGCGUCGGAACGUGCCGAGUAGUGGGGGACAACGCAUCGAAAGGUGUGCUAAUACCGCAUACGUACUGAGGUAGAAAGUGGGGGACCUUCGGGCCUCACGCUAUUCGAGCGGCCGACGUCUGAUUAGCUAGUUGGUGAGGUAAAGGCUCACCAAGGCGACGAUCAGUAGCGGGUCUGAGAGGAUGAUCCGCCACACGGGGACUGAGACACGGCCCAGACUCCUACGGGAGGCAGCAGUGGGGAAUUUUGGACAAUGGGCGCAAGACUGGUCCAGCCAUGCCGCGUGUCUGAAGAAGGCCUUCGGGUUGUAAAGGACUUUUGUCCGGGAGCAAAUGCCUGGUGUUAAUAGCAUCGGGAGCUGAGAGUACCGGAAGAAUAAGCACCGGCUAACUACGUGCCAGCAGCCGCCGUAAUAC